rfam:Myroides odoratus DSM 2801 chromosome, whole genome shotgun sequence.
GGGGAUGUAGCUCAGUUGGCUAGAGUGCUUGACUGGCAGUCAAGAGGUCGUGGGUUCGAGCCCCAUCUUCUCCA